UUCAUCCAAACGAAAGAUCACUUAAAAGUAAAAAAAAAGUAAAAUUUGAGAAGGCCCAAAAGUAAAUCUUCCGUUGUUGUCUUUACAGUGAAAAUGACAGUCAACUCCGUCGUGAUCCAGAUCAAACCGGCGGCUCGUUUAACCAAAAUAGAAAACCGGUUCUUCAGUCAAUAUCUUCCUACUAAACCCGGUUUCCGGUUCCCCACUCCCAAAUCACGUGAUCUCCCAAAAAUCCCCGCCGUUGAACAGUUUGCCACCGAGAUCCACGGUCAGAAACCCCUGUUGGCCCUUUUGUCCAAAACUCAACAGUUUUUUGGGAGCACAACUGUUGGUGAAAUAGAAAGGGAGAAAAUGGAGGUCAAUGGUUGUUUCAAGCGCAAUCUUCUUCUGAUGCUUACUGUAUUUGGAUUUAUGGCGAUAGUGAAAGGUCCAGCAGAAGCCCUAGCUUCUAGUUCUCCUUCUGCUUUUGUUCAAAAUGUCAUCUACUCUAACAAGAUCGCUAUCUUUUCCAAAUCCUAUUGCCCGUACUGCAAGCGUGCCAAACGCAUCUUCAAUGAACUUCAAGAACAACCAUUUGUGGUGGAGCUUGAUCUUCGAGAUGACGGCGGCCGUAUUCAAGAGGUCCUUCUAGAUCUGGUGGGUCGCAGCACAGUCCCACAAGUAUUUGUGAAUGGGAAGCAUAUUGGUGGUUCAGAUGAUCUCCAAAAUGCUGUCAAGAGUGGGCAUUUGCAAAGUCUUCUCAAGAAAGAGUGAAGUACUGAAGUCAAUAGAUUAAAGCAUCUUCCUGAAAUCCUGAAGCUGCAAUGCACUCAUGUAGAGCUUAGUUAAGUUUGGCUCUGCAGAUCCAUUCCCAUCUCAAUAGAAUGAUUUGGUAAGGGCAGAUUAUGUCCUAUGAUCGAUUGAAGGUGUCAUGCAGUCAACUCAAAUAUGCAUGUUUCACUAAGUAAACAAAUUGGCGGAGGAGAAAUUGUUAUUCUACUCUCACGGUGAGCUUACCAGGCUGCAUUAGGAUCAUCAUCUGGUUUACACAUUGGAGGUUUGUUUUGUUGUCUUUGAUCGUAGCAAUCAUUUGUGUCUGAUUUGUGGUAGAUGGCAACACCAACUGAGUUUAAUUUGUCCUUCUUUAUGGUUACAAGCUCCCAGCACAUGGCCACCGUCAAGUUAGACAUUUCUGAUAAUAGAGAGCCGAGCAAGGGAAAGGGAAAGGAAAAGGAAAAGGAAAAAAACACGUCAAUUUGAAUCUAUUGGCAUUUAGGGAAAGAGAUGAUUAGGAUCUUACGCUUCCAUAUCUCGACAUCUUCUUCAAGAGUUUGGUAGACGGGAGUUGCAGACCAGGCAAAGUAACCUCCGGGGCGAAGGACGCGAUUCAGUUCCAGAAGAAGAGCACCACCUUCAUUGCAAAUUUAAACUUUAAUUCAUAGACACAGCUCAAAAGCAAAGUCCAAAUGAGGACUUGAAUUUUCAGAUAGGUCUAAAUAUAUGAUGUCUAGGAAAUACCUUGCUCAUGCCAAGGGACUCUGCAGCGUGCACAAUGCACAAGAUCAAAAACUCCACUUGGAAAUGGCAAUCUUUGAGUACCCAUCA